UACGAAGGGGGCGAGCGUUGUUCGGAAUUACUGGGCGUAAAGGGUGCGUAGGCGGGUUUUUAAGUCAGAGGUGAAAUCCUGGAGCUCAACUCCAGAACUGCCUUUGAUACUGAAAAUCUUGAGUAUGGGAGAGGUGAGUGGAACUGCGAGUGUAGAGGUGAAAUUCGUAGAUAUUCGCAAGAACACCAGUGGCGAAGGCGGCUCACUGGCCCAUAACUGACGCUGAGGCACGAAAGCGUGGGGAGCAAACAGG
rnacentral:rRNA from 1 species